GGAGCUCCAGCUGUCCCUGCAGAUGGUGACUGGCUGGGCUGGCAGCCAACUUCGAGUAUAUCUGAGUCACACUCUGGGCAGUGUCUUCCUGACGUGGUAGGAGGGACCCAGGCCCCCUGUGGAUCCUCUCACCAAGAAGACUCCUUAGCUAAUCUAGAAUGUCAAUAUGAUGCUUGGAAUGCUGCAGCCGUUUGAAAAACAUGAGGACAAAAUUCACAAGCAGAGGACAGGAUAACAGGAAAACAGUAGAAACUGUUAAUGAUUUUCACGGCAAUUUCAUGGCAGCUAUGAGCUGUCUACCUCUGGAAUUCUUGACAAAGCUUUGAGGACACAUUCAAAUGUCUUAUCUUAAUCCCCAAGGUUCCGCAGGACCCAGAGCCAGCGAUUCUCAAAUUUUAGUAAGUAUUAGAACUACUUGGGGAUCCUGUUAAAAUGGCUAGUCCCAGGUU